rnacentral:rRNA from 1 species
GUAGGGAAUAUUGGACAAUGGGGGCAACCCUGAUCCAGCGACGCCGCGUGAGUGACGAAGGCCUUCGGGUCGUAAAGCUCUGUUGCAAGGGAAAAACAAAAUGAUGGUACCUUGCUAGAAAGGAUCGGCUAACUUCGUGCCAGCAGCCGCGGUAAGACGAGGGAUCCUAGCGUUGUUCGGAAUUAUUGGGCGUAAAGCGGGUGUAGGUGGCUUUGUAAGUCAGGUGUGAAAGCCUGGGGCUUAACCCCAGAAGUGCAUUUGAUACUGCGAAGCUUGAGUGCUGGAGAGGCUACUAGAAUUCUUGGUGUAGUGGUGAAAUACGUAGAUAUCAAGAGGAAUACCGGAGGCGAAGGCGGGUAGCUGGCCAGACACUGACACUCAGACCCGAAAGCGUGGGGAUCAAACAGGAUUAGAAACCCGGGUAGUCC